rnacentral:rRNA from 1 species
UCAAGAAACUUCCACAAUGGGCGAAAGCCUGAUGGAGCGACGUCGCGUGAUGGACGAAGUGCUUCGGCACGUAAACAUCUUUUAUGUGGGAUGAAAUUAUUGACAGUACCACAUGAAUAAGGGGCUCCUAACUCUGUGCCAGCAGGAGCGGUAAUACAGAGGCCCCAAGCGUUAUCCGGAAUCACUGGGCGUAAAGGGUGUCGAGGCGGUUGUAUUAGUCGUUCGUAAAAUCUACGAGCUUAACUUGUAGGCGGCGAACGAAACGGUACGACUUGAGGUUUGGAGAGGUGCGUGGAACUCACGGUGUAGGGGUGAAAUCCGUUGAUAUCGUGGGGAACACCAAAGGCGAAGGCAGCGCACUGGCCAAAAUCUGACGCUCACACACGAAAGCUAGGGGAGCAAACGGGAUUAGAUACCCCCGUAGUCCCUGAGCGGGCUGGCAAGGCGCAU